CCUACGGGGGGCUGCAGUGAGGAAUAUUGGUCAAUGGGCGCGAGCCUGAACCAGCCACGUCGCGUGAGGGAAGACGGUCCUCUGGAUUGUAAACCUCUUUUGUCGGGGAGCAACAGACGCCACGCGUGGCGUUCCGAGAGUCCCCGAAGAAACAGCCUCGGCUCACUCCGUGCCAGCAGCCGCGGUAAUACGGAGGAUGCGAGCGUUCUCCGGAUUUAUUGGGUUUAAAGGGUGCACAGGCGGAAGAUCAAGUCAGCGGUAAAAUUGAGGGGCUCAACCUCUGCGAGCCGUGGAAACUGGUUGUCUUGAGUGAGUGAGAAGUAUGCGGAAUGCGUGGUGUAGCGGUGAAAUGCAUAGAUAGCACGCAGAACUCCGAUUGCGAAGGCAGCAUACCGGCGCUCAACUGACGCUCAUGCACGAAAGUGUGGGUAGCGAACAGGAUUAGAUACCCCUGUAGUC
rnacentral:rRNA from 1 species